UACGGGGGGGGCAAGCGUUGUUCGGAAUUACUGGGCUUAAAGGGUGCGUAGGCGGCGCGGAAAGUUGGGUGUGAAAUCCCUCGGCUCAACCGAGGAAUGGCGCUCAAAACUACCGUGCUCGAGGGAGAUAGAGGAGUGCGGAACUUACGGUGGAGCGGUGAAAUGCGUUGAUAUCGUAGGGAACACCGGUGGCGAAAGCGGCACUCUGGAUCUCUUCUGACGCUGAUGCACGAAAGCUAGGGUAGCGAACGGG
rnacentral:rRNA from 1 species